GAAGGAAAACAGAAAACUGGAAAAACAUUUUCAUAGUCUCUUAGUUGGAGGUCUCAGAAAAAGAAUGGAGAAAGAAUAUCAUCAAAUUUAUGGGAACAAGACCCCAUCCUCCCCUAAAAGAACUCUAUCCACUGUUCCUCAUAGCUGCCUCCAAGGAAGAGGGUCAAGUCUUCAUUUAUCUACUUGAGAUACAAUGUCAUCUUUAAGAGACAGCAACGAAGAAAAUGGCUUGCACCUCAGGAUGAUUUUCUGAUAUGCCUACAAUAUUUAUCGAUGAGGAAACUGAGUCCCAUGGGCAUGAAGAGACUUAUCCAAGGUCAUUCAGGCUAUCAUUGACCAGUAAAGCCAAGAUUCAAAUUCAGCAUGCCCUGGUUUCCAUAAUGCAGACAGCUUGCGUGCCUGCUGCUGAAAGGCGACGCUCCAUCUCCAGCGCUCACGAAUGGGAGGCCAGGAGCGGCUUUGACUUUCUUUUGGUGAGUUCUUCCACUUUGUGCUUCCACUACCUGAAAGCCAGGCGGGCAGACCUGGACCACUGGCGAAGGCACUCGCCUCCACGGCUGAAAACGAGCCGGCCCGAUGAUUUAUGGUGGGCAAGGGCUGAUGACAUAAAUCUCCUAAAGGGGCCUGACGCAGAGCUGCCCCUGCGAGAAGGCGACAGACGGCUCAAUGGCUGCAGAAUCCUGCUGAUGCUGAACAGACCCACCAAGAUAUAAAAUCUUCAAAAAGCAUAACUCCCCAAACAUGCUUGAAUUUAUGUUUACCAUAACUUGUGGCCGACGAAACACAGCGAAUGGCUGGCCCUGGGAGGUGUCUGAAAGCCUGCCCGCCUGCACAAGAAAGGAAACCUCCUUCCCUGGGGUGUUCCAACAUACUCCCAAGAACCAAAGGAAUAACAAAUAACUUUCAGAUGGGUUCCAUUUCCUUCUGCAUCUCUUCAUUUCCCUCUUUGAUAGCUGAGAGAAGGCAAUGUUUCGGGCACCUUCAUUUCAGCAAAUUUGUGUUACGUUUGCCUGAGCUACCAGACCCUGCUGGGUCAGACACUAGACAUAGAGACAAAAAUGGACCAAAGCCUGCCCUCAGGAGAGUCACCUUCUACUGUGGGGAACAGCUGGCUUAGUGAGAAGCAACAAGUGAUUUCCCAAAUGCAAUCCACUGCACUCUUCUUUAUAUUCCAGUCUGUGACCGGCUGAUUUUUUUUUUUUAAUCUGUAUAAUUUGGCGCAUCCUUCCUCCAUUUUGGUUUUCCUGUGUGUAUCAUUAGGACAAUAUCUUCUGAAGAGAUGUGGAUUUUGCUGAGGAAUCCCAUAAUGUUGUGGGAUUUGGUGCAAUCGACAUAUCAUCAUCCCCAAGUAAAAGCACAAGU
rnacentral:lncRNA from 1 species